UACGUAGGGUGCAAGCGUUAAUCGGAAUGACUGGGCGUAAAGGGUGCGCAGGCGGUCUGCUAAGACAGAGGUGAAAUCCCCGGGCUUAACCUGGGAAUGGCCUAUGUGACUGGCAGGCUAGAGGAUGGCAGAGGGAGGCGGAAUGCCACGUGUAGCAGUGAAAUGCGUAGAGAUGUGGCGGAACACCGAUGGCGGAAGGCAGCCUCCUGGGCCAAUCCUGGACGCUCAGGCACGAAGCGUGGGAGCAA
rnacentral:rRNA from 1 species